ACUUUUAAUUUUCUUUUAUAAAGUGAGAAUAUAAUUGUGCUAAAGAGACAUACAUUUUUGAAGAUGGAUCAAAGAACUUUUCGACUUGUGCAAAUUUUUAAAAUUAUGAACAUCAUGUUCAUAAUGGUAUAGCUGUAUAUUGAAGCACGCCAACGCUUAAAAAGGAGAUGGUGGAUCCGGCCAGUAAACCUUGCGAGGAAACGGCUUGGAUUUCAUGGAGUUAGCUUCGCUCUACUAAAGCUGAGAGAGGAAGAACAUUUCUUUAAGGCCACGAGAAUGACUGAGCCUAAGUUCAAUGUCCUUCUUAAUUUACUUAGAGAAAAGUUGCAAAGGUUUUCCAGAAGAGAGCCAAUAGACGAAGAGACCCGUUUGGGUAUGACGUUGAUAUACUUAUCACAAGGAUGUAGCCCACAAUUUUUGGCAUUCUCUUAUAAAAUGGGAGUCUCAACAGUAAGGAAAAUCAUUUACGAAACCUGUGAUGCGAUUUGGAGUGAGCUGCAUGCAAUUUAUGUUGCACAACCAAAUUUAACAGAGUGGAAAAACAUUGCCAACGGAUUUUACAUGAAAAGUAGAAUGCCCCAUUGACUCGGAGCAGUUGAUGGCAAGCAUGUGAACAUAAUUUGCCCGAAGCGCAGUGGCUCCUUAUACUAAAACUACAAAAAAACGUUCAGUAUACUAGUCCUAAUGGCAGCGUGCAUUGCUGAUUACUCCUUUACCUUCGUUGAUGUCGGUGCAUUGGGAAGUUAAAGUGACGGUGGAGUUUUCGCUCAUAGUGCUUUUGGGAAUAUGAUAUUGAGAAACAACAUCAUGCUACCUCCAGAUGAUAGCCUGCCUGGUUCAGAUAGAAACUUUCCAUAUUUUUUUGUGGGAGACAACGCGUUCCCUCUGAAACGCAAUCUAAUGCGCCCAUAUCCUGGACGCAAUUUGCCAACCACGAAACUAAAUUUUAAUAAGAAGUUAUCAUCCGCUC